rnacentral:rRNA from 1 species
AACGAACGCUGGCGGCAGGCCUAACACAUGCAAGUCGAGCGAAGCCUUCGGGCUUAGCGGCGGACGGGUGAGUAACGCGUGGGAACGUGCCCUUUGGUACGGAAUAGCCCCGGGAAACUGGGAGUAAUACCGUAUGUGGUCGAGAGACGAAAGAUUUAUCGCCAAAGGAUCGGCCCGCGUUGGAUUAGGUAGUUGGUGGGGUAAUGGCCUACCAAGCCGACGAUCCAUAGCUGGUUUGAGAGGAUGAUCAGCCACACUGGGAGUGAGACGCGGCGCAGACUCCUACGAGAGGCAGCAGUGGGGAAUCUUAGACAAUGGGGGAAACCCUGAUCUAGCCAUGCCGCGUGAUCGAUGAAGGCCUUAGGGUUGUAAAGAUCUUUCAGUGGGGAAGAUAAUGACUGUACCCACAGAAGAAGCCCCGGCUAACUCCGUGCCAGCCGCCGCGGUAACAC